CGAAGGGGGCUAGCGUUGCUCGGAAUCACUGGGCGUAAAGCGCACGUAGGCGGCUUUUUAAGUCAGGGGUGAAAUCCUGGAGCUCAACUCCAGAACUGCCUUUGAUACUGGGAAGCUUGAGUCCGGAAGAGGUGAGUGGAACUCCGAGUGUAGAGGUGAAAUUCGUAGAUAUUCGGAAGAACACCAGUGGCGAAGGCGGCUCACUGGUCCGGUACUGACGCUGAGGUGCGAAAGCGUGGGGGAGCAAACAGGAUUAGAUACCCUGGUAGUCCACGCUGUAAACGAUGGAUGCUAGCCGUUGGGGGGUUUACCCUUCAGUGGCGCAGCUAACGCAUUAAGCAUCCCGCCUGGGGAGUACGGUCGCAAGAUUA
rnacentral:rRNA from 1 species